AACGAACGCUGGCGGCAUGCCUAACACAUGCAAGUCGAACGAUUGCCUUCGGGUGAUAGUGGCGCACGGGUGCGUAACGCGUGGGAAUCUGCCCUUAGGUUCGGAAUAACAGCUGGAAACGGCUGCUAAUACCGGAUGAUAUCGCGCGAUCAAAGAUUUAUCGCCUGAGGAUGAGCUCGCGUUGGAUUAGGUGGUUGGUGGGCUAAAGGCCUACCAAGCCGACUAUCCAUAGCUGGUCUGAGAGGAUGUGCAGCCACACUGAGACUGAGACACGGCACAGACUCCUACGGGAGGCAGCAGUGGGGAAUAGUGGACAGUGGGCGCAAGCCUGAUCCAGCAAGGCCGCGUGAGUGAUGAAGGCACUAGGGUUGUAAAGCUCUUUUAACCGGGAAGAUAAUGACUGUACCGGGAGAAUAAGCCCCGGCUAACUCCGUG
rnacentral:rRNA from 1 species